UAGGGAAUCUUCGGCAAUGGGGGUAACCCUGACCGAGCAACGCCGCGUGAGUGAAGAAGGUUUUCGGAUCGUAAAGCUCUGUUGUAAGAGAAGAACGUGUGUGAGAGUGGAAAGUUCACACAGUGACGGUAACUUACCAGAAAGGGACGGCUAACUACGUGCCAGCAGCCGCGGUAAUACGUAGGUCCCGAGCGUUGUCCGGAUUUAUUGGGCGUAAAGCGAGCGCAGGCGGUUUAAUAAGUCUGAAGUUAAAGGCAGUGGCUUAACCAUUGUUCGCUUUGGAAACUGUUAAACUUGAGUGCAGAAGGGGAGAGUGGAAUUCCAUGUGUAGCGGUGAAAUGCGUAGAUAUAUGGAGGAACACCGGUGGCGAAAGCGGCUCUCUGGUCUGUAACUGACGCUGAGGCUCGAAAGCGUGGGGAGCAAACAGG
rnacentral:rRNA from 1 species